UACGGAGGGUGCAAGCGUUAUCCGGAUUCACUGGGUUUAAAGGGUGCGUAGGCGGGUUGGUAAGUCCGUGGUGAAAUCUCCGAGCUUAACUCGGAAACUGCCGUGGAUACUAUCAAUCUUGAAUAUCGUGGAGGUAAGCGGAAUAUGUCAUGUAGCGGUGAAAUGCCUAGAUAUGACAUAGAACACCAAUUGCGUAGGCAGCUUACUACACGAUCAUUGACGCUGAGGCACGAAAGCGUGGGGAUCAAACAGG
rnacentral:rRNA from 1 species